CGGGGCGGGCGCAUGGUCGCUGGCGGGAGGUUUAUCACCGACGGCCGGAGGAAAGUCCGAACUCCGCGGGGCAGGGAGGUUCGUAACGCGAACCGGGGGUAACCCCAGGGAAAGUGCCACAGAAAAUAUACCGCCGGGCAACCGGUAAGGGUGAAAUGGCGAGGUAAGAGCUCACCGCUUGCCGGGUGACCGGCAAGGCAGGGUAAACCCCUCCCGGAGCAAGAUCAAAUAGGGAAACGUUUGAGGGCGGCCCGUCCGAAGUUUCCGGGUAGAUCGCAAGAGACAUCGGGCGACCGAUGUCCCUAGAGAAAUGACCAUGACCCGUCAGGGUACAGAAUUCGGCUUACAGCCCGCCCCGAUCC
rnacentral:RNase_P_RNA from 1 species